GUUUAGAGGCACAUGCUAAAAAAAGACUACAUUGCUAUGAAUGAAUUAUUAAGGAUGAUUCUGGUGAGGGGCUACUUCUCAGUCAUAUUAAUUAUUUACUUGUGAUCAAUAGGGACCAAGUCCCUCACUGACAACACAACAUUGUCAUUCUGCCAUUCAUACCCAGACAACACAGUAUUGAAUAUUCCCCACUGUUUACUUCCUUUUUCUCCCUAAUACUCACUUCCCAAGGUGUGUAAUUAAAUUUUGUAUUCUACUUUAUUUGUCCUAUUAUACUCUCAGAUUUCAACUCCUGGUCUACUCUUCAUGGAAUUUCUCUUGUCUUCUCACUUUUAAAGAACUCUUAGUUUCCUAUUUCAAGGAGUCCUAUUUAGAGGGUUAAUUAGAGGUGAUCCAGCAGAGUUUUCUAAUUUUACAAUAUUUUAACCAUAAAUGGAAGCACUAACUGUCUCUUCACUAGAAUUAAUUUUCUUUUUUUUUUCAGGUCACAACUAGGAUCUAUUUCCUGCCUUUUCUUACGACCAUGAAUCAUGAAUAUUAAUGCAAUUCCAUUAAGGUUGCCACGGAGUGUCCAGGAUGCUGGUGGAGGGGGCGGUAGGCUGCCACUUUAUCAUGUUAUUGGAUUUGUUUAAAGAAAGGUUCCUGACACGAUUUUCCAAAUGCAGCCUGGUGAGCAGUCCCUGCCAUCAGUUCCUCAACACUACCUCCCACCGCCCCAUCCAGGUCUGCGCAAAACAGUUGCAAGUCCUCUUGACUGAGCUCUGAAUCUACACAAGCAAAGAUGAUAUGCCACCCCCACAUGCCAUCAAUAUUACGUCCCCCACAGCCUCUAAGGCAUGAACUUAGUGGCUCAUUGAUGUUCGUGGAGCUUCUGCAUUGUUUCCUCUAUCCCUUUUAUUAUCAAAUGGACCCAAUAUCUACUGCUGCCAGUAAAGUAUACAGGCACUUGCGAAACUGCUGUGACUUUUAGGGCAGUAACUGGGCUGAGCCUCUGGAUCUCAUAGAGAGCACUUCGAUGGGACUAUGAGGCUUGACAUAGUUUUGCCUUAUUGUGAGAAUAGACAUAACUUCCUCUGUUGCCAAGAGAUGGACUCAGGUCCAGGAUUGCUGUCUUUCUUUCAGUCUCUUCACUUCCUGACAGCCAGACACCUUCUGAUGUAUUCAGACAUGAUCAAAGAAGGCCCCAUUACCCCUUCCAGCCACAUUUUUGAAUACUGUGUCUAUCAUCCCCAGCACAGUAUGGUACUACAAAGUCCAUUUCCUAAUCAUAGCCCAGGUAAAUGAUAUCUCCUCACUCAUCUUGUGUAUUGAUCUUUAUCCCUCAUUCUUCAAAAUGUGAGUGAACAUCCCAGCAUAACUGAACUUUCUCAUAAUAUACCUAUGAUUUUCUGCUCAUCCGUCCUAUCACAUUUCAAAGGAAGACAUUUAACAACUUGCGUUGUCCCCAAAUCAGAAUUCAUCCUUCUGUAUUACCAAAUUGACUGAGUAUCUAAGCCUCACUUCCAACCCAGAGGUUUUACCUGUUUAUCUAAUCCCAGUGACCCCUGUAUAGACUGCAAGACUGCCCGGAGCUCUGGUUGGAUAAUUGAGGACUUGCUUCUUGUGAUCUGAGGUCUCAGAUGGAAAUAUUGAUUAACCGUCCUAUCAACAUCUCAGAAGAAGGCAAAAGUAAGUGGAUAUAUCUCAGCACGGAGAACAAUGCCAACAGCAGAGUAAGGAGGAAAGUUAGAGACAGUGGAACUGGGAUACUUAACAACAUGGCUGUAGAUUCAAGGCCAACACCUCACAGAAUGUUAUGCAGUUCCUUCAUUAUUUUUGCUUUGAAAUAAGAAUGGCAUUAUUUGUUUAUUUAGCAAUGUUUUUGAAAUUAACAUUCACUUACCUGUAUAUGUAUACUUAUAUGUGUGUGUGUAUAUCUAUGUAUAUAUAAUACUUGUUUCUAAACAUGUUUUAUAAACAUCUUCAAACAAAAGCAAAGCUGACAAAAUGUUAUGACAAAUACCUGUACAUUCUCCAUCUAGGUUCAUCAGUAGUUAACAUUUUGGAAAAUAUAAAUGCAUACUCAUACACACACACACACACACACACACACAUGCACACAUACUCUACAUAAGUAUGUUAAGACUUAUAAUACUCCUUGUCUUAGUCUGUUUCUGUUGCUACAGCAAAAUGCUUUCGACUGGGUAAUGUAUAAAUAACACUAACUUACUUCUCACAAUUUUGGAGGCUGGAAGUCCAAAAUCCAAGUGCCACCAAGCUCAGUGUCUGGGGAGGGCCUGGUCUCUGCUUGCAAGGUGAGGACUUCGUGUGUUCUCCGGAGAAGAUGAACGCUUUCAUCUCGCCCAGCAGAAGAGCUAGAAGAACAAAUAGGGCAUAGCUACUUCCCUCAAGCCCUUUUUUAUAAGGGUACUAAUUCAUUCAUGAGGAGUAAAACCCUCCUGAUUUAAUCAUUCUAAAGGCCCCAUCUUUUAAUACUGUAACUUGAGUCUCAAAAUAUGAAUUUUGAGGGACACAUACAUUCUAGCCAUGGCACUUUCGAAUACUCCAGCAUGCAUCUCCAAAAAAUACAUUUUUCUAGAAAACCAAAAUGCCAUUAUCAAAUUUAGAAAAACUAACAGUGACUCCUUAAUGUCCUCUAUUAUCCAAACCCAUUUAGCCUACAUAUGUCACCCUAAACUUGGAUAAGUUCACACACUGCAUUAGAUUGUCUUGUUCCUUAAAUGUCUUUAAAUUUCUCCUGCACAACCAUCUUUUUAUUUUUCUCAUAAUAUUGUCCUUUGGACAGCCUAAAACUUUUUGUUUUGUGUAAUGUACUAUGUUUGGGUUUUAUCUGAUUACUUUCUCAUCGUGCUGUUUAAUUUGUUUCUUUAUCCCCUAUAUAUCUUGUUAACCAGAAGUUAAGUCUGAGUGCUUAAUUAGAUUCAAAUUAAACAUCAUUGUGUAUACAUUAUAUUGCAUUGCUUUAUGAGCUGCAUAAUUUCAAGUUGUCCCACUAUUAGUUAUGCUAACUUUGAACUUUUGG
rnacentral:lncRNA from 10 species